GUUAUUAGCCUUUUCAGAAGUAGACAUUUAGUCCUGAACCAAAAAGUUAUGGUGAAGGGGGCUACUGUUUCACAUUUGCAAGAUACACGUGGAACUUGCUAGUCAUUUGCCGCUAAUACUUAGGGUAGUUUUUGUGAUUUAAAGAGAAGGUUCUUAUUAGUUUCAAUGCUUUACUGUAUUAAAAACUAUACAAUGAUGUCACCUUGCGUUAUAAAGCUUGCUUAGGCUUAUGGAUUCAACACUGAUUAUGAGGAUAUAUUUGAUCCUACUACCAAAAUGAUGAAUGUUUGUUUUCUUACUGUGAUGUUUUAGUUUUAUAAAUAAAGCUGUCAUUUGCUCUCCCCAACUAUCUCCACCAUGUUGAUGUACUUGAUAUUCUUAUUUCUUAAUGUGAAAGUUUAAGAAAGUUGAUUUUAUCCUUUAUUUAUCCAUAUAUUUCCAUUGGCAUUUUGGUAU
rnacentral:misc_RNA from 1 species